UUCUGUUUCUAUGUGCUGCUGUGACGUGAAGUGAAGCUGUUCAAACAAUUGUGUAAGUGUUAACACCGAUACAGCAAGAGAAAACGGAAUAUAAAAAACUUAACAGAUGUGACACAUCAUUUAACUAAUUAAAUAUAUAACACUUAAUAACUGUUAACUAAUGUUUACAAAUGGAGCUGUUUUGUAAAGUGGUACAAGGUAUACUGUAUUGGUAUACUAUUAAGUGAUUAUUAGAAGCACAUGAAGAAUCACACAGUAUCUUCUCAGUGUUUCUGACAUGUUCAUCUGUUCAUUUACUUAUAAUCUCAUUUUUGUUUCUGUGUGCUGCUGUGACAUGAAGCGGAGAUCUCUGAAAAAAAGGAAUCACCCAAGAUCAAUGAAAAAGAACUGGUGAAGAUUUCUGAAAAACUAAUGAAGAUGUGUAAGUAUAAGAAUCAGAAUGAGCUUUACUGCCAGGUAUGUUUAAACAUACAAGGAAUUUGUUUUAGUGACAAAGCUCUACAUUGAC